GAGGGGUGGCAGAGUGGUUUAAUGCACCAGUCUUGAAAACUGGCGUCCGAAAGGACUCGUGGGUUCGAAUCCCACCCCCUCC
rnacentral:tRNA from 1 species